rnacentral:rRNA from 1 species
UGCCAGCAGCCGCGGUAAUACGUAAGGGGCAAGCGUUACCCGGAAUUAUUGGGCGUAAAGCGUCCGCAGGCGGAUUAUCAAGUAGGUUAUUAAAUACCGGUGCUCAACAUCGGUGCUGUAAUCUAAACUGGUAAUCUAGAGGAUGGGAGAGGAGUGUAGAAUUCUACAAGUAGGGGUAAAAUCCGUAGAUAUGUAGAGGAAUACCAAAAGCGAAGGCAGCACUCUGGACCAUUCCUGACGCUCAGGGACGAAAGCGUAGGUAGCAAAACGGAUUAGAUA